GCAAAAGUAGCUUAACGAUAAAGCAAAGCACUGAAAAUGCUUUAAUAGAAGGUUUAAGUCCUCUCUUUAUGCA
rnacentral:tRNA from 1 species